GUCGCCGCCUCCUCGGCCUCCUCCUCCUCCUCCUCCUCCUCCUCCGCCGGCCUGGGCGUCUACGUGGUAGCCGCCGGGGACCCCCCCGCCGUCGGCACCACGUCCUACAGGCAGGAGUACCGGCCUUGGACUGGAGUGAAGCCUUCGAAACCCAUAAAGACCAAACAGACCUCUGUCCUUGCGAUAGAUAACACUGUGCGGGAGACCAGCUACAGAGCAGAUUUUAAGGUGCCAGAAGGAAAGACCAAGUUUUCCCCCAAUCCUUCCGCUGUCUUUCAGGCUCCAGCUCGAAUUCUCAAUGUUUGAACACCACUUUUGGGCCCAGCCGGGCUCCUGAACGAGAUUUUUGGAGGAAGUGAGGAGCAUCUGUACAAAUUGAUUGCUAUGCAACUUCAUGAGAGGUGUUCAAUUAACGUACUGCACGUGCAGCUCUGUUAAUGACACGUCGUCUCUGGUUGAUACCCAGCAGUAGUUGUCUGGGCCUUAUUUAUUAUUAUUAUUAUCAUGGCAUUCGUUAAGCACUUACUAGGUGUCGAACACUAUUCUAAGCACUGGG